GGUUGAUCCUGCCAGUAGUCAUAUGCUUGUCCCAAAGAUUAAGCCAUGCAUGUCUAAGUAUAAACAAAUCUGUACUGUGAAACUGCGAAUGGCUCAUUAAAUCAGUUAUAAUUUACUUGAUGAUCACUUUAUCAUUGGAUAUCCGUGGUAAUUCUAGAGCUAAUACAUGAGCAAAGCCCGACUCGCGAAGGGCUGCAUUUAUUAGAUAUCAAGCUGAUGCAAGCGAAAGCUUGCUUGGUGAUUCAUAAUAACUUUGCGGAUCGUAUGGCCUUGAGCCGACGACGUUUCAAUCA
rnacentral:rRNA from 1 species